rnacentral:rRNA from 1 species
UUUGAUGGCGACCGGCGCACGGGUGAGUAACACGUAUCCAACCUGCCGAUGACUCGGGGAUAGCCUUUCGAAAGAAAGAUUAAUACCCGAUGGCAUAGUUCUUCCGCAUGGUGGAACUAUUAAAGAAUUUCGGUCAUCGAUGGGGAUGCGUUCCAUUAGGUUGUUGGCGGGGUAACGGCCCACCAGCCUUCGAUGGAUAGGGGUUCUGAGAGGAAGGUCCCCCACAUUGGAACUGAGACACGGUCCAAACUCCUACGGGAGGCAGCAUG